rnacentral:misc_RNA from 1 species
AGCACAACAAAGAUGUCCUUUCUCAGUCAACAUUGCUUACAGAAGAGAUCUCCAGGUGAUGGCAGGGAGACCAAAACACCUCUGGAAAUAUUUUUGGAAGGGGGAUAGCCCUAAAAAAGUGAAAUGCUUCACUUGGCUAGUGAUAAAGAGAGCUUGUUUAACACAGUAAGUACUUCAGAUCAGAAAGGAGAUACAACUGGUUCCUAGGUGUUUUUUAUGCAAUAUGACAAGUGAAACUAAUAGCUA